UCUGGUUGAUCCCGCCGGAGGUUACUGCUAUCGAGGUUCGACUAAGCCAUGCGAGUCGAAUGUAGCAAUACAUGGCGUACUGCUCAGUAACACGUGGACAACCUACCCUUAGGUCGGGGAUAAACCCGGGAAACUGGGUAUAAUACCCGAUAGUCCUCGGAUGCUGGAAUGCACCGAGGUCUAAAGCUCCGGCGCCUAAGGAUGGGUCUGCGGCCUAUCAGGUAGUAGUGGGUGUAGCGUACCUACUAGCCUACGACGGGUACGGGUUGUGAGAGCAAGAGCCCGGAGAUGGAUUCUGAGACACGAAUCCAGGCCCUACGGGGUGCAGCAGGCGCGAAAACUUUACAAUGCUGGAAACAGCGAUAAGGGGACCUCGAGUGCCAGGUUACAAAUCUGGCUGUCGUGAUGCCAAAAAAGCAUUGCAUAGCAAGGGCCGGGCAAGACCGGUGCCAGCCGCCGCGGUAACACCGGCGGCUCGAGUGGUAACCGUUAUUAUUGGGUCUAAAGGGUCUGUAGCCGGCCGGAUAAGUCUCUUGGGAAAUCUGGCAGCUUAACUGUCAGGCUUUCAGGAGAUACUGUCUGGCUCGAGGCCGGGAGAGGUGAGAGGUACUUCAGGGGUAGGGGUGAAAUCUUGUAAUCCUUGAAGGACCACCAGUGGCGAAGGCGUCUCACCAGAACGGACCUGACGGCAAGGGAC
rnacentral:rRNA from 1 species